GCCUUCAUCGUCUAAUGGUGAGGACAGCCGCCUCUCAAGCGGCAAACCGGGGAUCAAUACCCCGUGAAGGCA
rnacentral:tRNA from 1 species